rnacentral:rRNA from 1 species
GACGAACGCUGGCGGCGUGCUUAACACAUGCAAGUCGAACGGAAAGGCCCUGCUUGCAGGGUACUCGAGUGGCGAACGGGUGAGUAACACGUGGGUGAUCCGCCCUGCACUUCGGGAUAAGCCUGGGAAACUGGGUCUAAUACCGGAUAGGAGCCAUUCUUAGUGUGAUGGUUGGAAAGUUUUUUCGGUGUAGGAUGAGCUCGCGGCCUAUCUGCUUGUUGGUGGGGUAAUGGCCUACCAAGGCGGCGACGGGUAGCCGGCCUGAGAGGGUGGACGGCCACAUUGGGACUGAGAUACGGCCCAGACUCCUACGGGAGGCAGCAGUGGGGAAUAUUGCACAAUGGGCGCAAGCCUGAUGCAGCGACGCCGCGUGGGGGAUGACGGCCUUCGGGUUGGAAACUCCUUUCGCUAGGGACGAAGCUUUUUGUGACGGUACCUAGAUAAGAAGCACCGGCUAACUACGUG